AAUAAGCGCAGCCAUAAGUUUUCAUAUCCAACUUUGAUCGUCCAUCUUAUUUAAUUUUUUUUAUGAUUACUAUUUUUUUAUUAGAUUGUAAAACAUGAAUAAUACUUUAUGCGUUACUUAUGUUUUUUUAGUUUUUUUAAAAAAAAUAAAAUAAGAUGAACGAUGCGUUCA
rnacentral:pre_miRNA from 1 species